GUGCCAGGCUUGGGCUCGGAGCUUUACGGACAUAAUAGCAUUAGAUCCUUACUGCAUCCUUGUGAGAGGCAGACCCUGAGACAGACCUUGGUGUCCAUGCGGUUUAUGAAGAAGAUGCUCCCCGGAGAAACCUGUAAGCAAGUUGGGAAAGGAGGGUGGGAAAGGGAAAGAAGCCAAGCAAACUGAAGCCUUUAGGUGAAGCCCCAGCAUCAGUCUGAUUCCGUGGAAAGCUCUGGAGUGGAUAUUAGAUCUCAGCAUGCAUCCCUGCUCGGAGCAAGGUUGCAGUCACCGGGCUUUCAUUGUUGAGAGCUGUCCCCACCUGGUGGGGAAGGACUGCAGAGUUGCAAAGCCACGCCAGUAGUCUGAGGGCAGGUUUCCAAAGAGAAUUUGCAAGUGUUGCCUUUAGAAGCAAAGCACCUGGAAGCUUCCAGAUGAGCAUACAGGACAGGAGAAGGAAGAACUGAGAAGAGAGAGAAGAUGCAGAAGCGGUUGGGGAGAGGAUGCUCCUGCUGUGAUUGGGUUCACGUGCAAAAAUGAAAAUCUGCUCGUGCAAUGAGCGUGUGAUGCCUGCCCCCGACCCCCACCCCUGCCGUCCGCCUUCGACUUCCCCGUUUCUAUGGAGGCUGCGUGUGCUACCCUGGCUGAGCAUCCUCCAGGGCACAUGGACACCUGGGACCACACAGUUGCGAGGUAGGGGGGCAGGGAGGGGAAUGUCCUACCUAUGAAUGGUCUCUGAGGAUGGCACUACCGGGUAAAAGGCGGUCACUUAUUUCUUUAAUUUUUAAAUUUUUAAAAUUGAACUAUAGGUGAUUAACAGUGUCUUCAUUUCAGGUGUACCGCACAGUGGUUCUUUUAUAUAUAUAUAUAUAUAUUUAUAAUCUAUUAUUUUUAAUAUUCUUUUCCAUCAUGGUUAUUACAGGAUAUUAACUAUAGAUCCCUGUGCUAUAUAGUAGGUCUUUGCUGUGUAUCUAUUUUAUUAUUAUUAUUAUUGUGUCUUUUUAGGGCAUUUCCUGGGCUAGGGGUAGAAUCAGAGCUACCACUGCCAGCGUACACCACAACCAUAGCAAUGCCAGAUCCGAGCUGCAUCUGCGACCUAUGCUGCAGCUUGCAGCAACACUGGAUCCUUAACCCACUGAGCAAGGCCAGGGAUCAAACCUGCAUCCUCAUGGACACUGUGUCCAGUUCUUAACCCUCUGAGCCACAACGUUAACUCCCAAAGUAUCUCUCUUGAGGACACGCUGGUGGAAAUUUAGUGACCGGCUUUUUUCCUGACUUGCUACUUUCAAAGGGCAGAGUGACCUCCCCAUGGUUAGAAUUAAGUGAAAGAAAGCAUUUGAUGGCAGUCACCUGGGUCCCCAGGUACUCUGAAAAGCUGUCCCCUCCUUCUGUCCUUAACUUGACCCUCCCGCUUUCAAAUACAGGAGGGGCCGUUUUUUCCUAAGAUAUGCAUGCUUAGGAGGCCAGGGUUGUUGGCUGGGGAGACAGUCAGAGUGUUUAACCCCUGGCAGGACCUGAGGACUGUCUGUCUAAUCAGAACCGCAGCAGGCUGCAGCUAGACAGGGUCCCCUGGGGAUCCCUGCGGCUCCCUGAGGCUGGAUGGUGGGUAGUCCUGGGGCAGGGGUGGGGGGCAGUGUUGCAGACUUGAGAUAUGUAUAUACAUAUAUAUUUCUUUUUGGCUACCCUGUGGCAUAUGGAGUUCCCAAGCCAGGGAUCAGAUCUGAGCUACAAUUGUGACCUAAGCUACAGCUGUGGCAAAGCCAGAUCCUUAACCCACUGUGCGGGGCCAGGGAUGGGACCUAUGUCCCAGCACUCCCAAGGUGCCCCUGAUCCCAUUGUGUCACAGCGGGAGCUCCUGGGCUCAGGACAGAAAUGAUUCCGCAUUUGACAAACGGCCUGCCUCAACCCGUGCCUCCAGGCUCGUUAUCACCCCUGUUUGUUGGUGAAAAGUGGUUAACCUCUGAUUUCCUCCUACCAGCCACGUUGCCCAGGUCUGGGCCAAGCCCGACGGGAUCAGAGAAUUUGGCCGCUGACCAGGUCAGAAUUCCAGCUGGAAACUUUCUCUGGCCCAGGGUGGGGUGCUGCCUCUCCUCCCUUUACCUUUUCACCCCCUGCCCUGCAGGUGACCCCAGGUUAUGGGGCUGCCUAUCUUCGCCCACAGCUGCAAGAGGAGCCCUUAUCACCUGGCUGAUUACACUUGACAAAGCACAAACACCCGUCCUGCUUGGCAGAGGGCAACGUGGGCUCUAAUUGUUUUAUGGGCUUUUCACACUCAGAGAAGAGGGCGACAUGCCAGCCUCACGGAUCUGGUUUCUGGGGCUUCCGUUCCACAAUUGCCUCCUUGCCAACCCCUCCUGAGUCCCCAGAAGGCUUCAGAGUGAUGGAGAGAAAACUUCCGGGAACCGGCCUUUCCAUUGGUGGAGGGAGACAGGGGGCUCCCCCAGAGCCAGACAACGCCCCCUCCCCUCAUCUUACUAGUCCUCCUGCCAGGCCUGAUGACAGGUACUGGGACACACCCGAGCCCAGCCAAAUCGGGGGACUCUGCAAAGUCCGCAGGGUAGGAAAAACCACUGCCAUCACCAACGUCACAGGAGACAUCACAGCAUCCCCUCCAAGGGCUGACAUCUGUCAUCUCCUGGUGCCGGCCCCAGCCCAGGAGUGGGUGGAACGGGGGUGGCAGGGAGAGACAAAGCUUAUUAUCCACGCUUCCCGGAUGGGGACACUGAGGCAAAGGAUGCCAAGGGACCUGCCCACGCGGCUCAGUCGAGCAGUGGGGCUGGGGUCUGAAAACUCAGAUCUGAAAGGGUCCUCUGAGUCCCAGGGUGUCCUGUUUGGUGUGAAUCUCAGCUUCACCCUCUCUCUCUCUCUCCCCUCCUCUCCUCUUCCCUCUCCUUCUUAUCUCUCUCUCUGUCUCUGUGUCUGUCUCUCUCUUUCUCUCUCUUCCUCCGUGUGUGACCCCUUUCUGGCCAGUGGCUGGGGUGGUGAGCACCUCUAAAGGCAAACCUUUCCCCCCUUCACUCUCCUCUGCUCUUUUAUUAUCCGCCUGUUUACAUCAUUAGCUUUUAUCUUGUGUCGCGUGUAUCUUUGUACACUACCUUGAAUCCUUCAGGGAACAGAACAAGGCAGGGCAGAGAUAAAUACAUUUAAUUUAAAGGUGCCAGGUUAGUUGAAAGCAAAGCUCACCUUUGCAGCCGAGAGAGGAUCCCGUGGCUGGGUGGGUUUCCCGCCGCUUCCCAUCCCUCCACUUCCCUCCCACCCUUAGAGGCUGGAUGGAAAGAUGCAGUGAAUUCAUGGAUGGAUAUGGGAAACGGGAACCAGACCAGAGGUUUGCACACUGACCCAUGGAGCCUUAGGUCUUCUGUGCCCAGCAUCCCAGCCUGAACUCUUGGCUCCCAGCUUCCACUGGAGCUUUCUGCUCUUCCUGUUUUUUUUUGUUGUUGUUGUUGUCGUUGUUUUUUUUAGGGCCACACCCAAGGCAUAUGGAAGUUCCCAGGCUAGGGAUUGAAUCAGAGCUGUAGCCGCUGGGCUACACCACAGCCACAGCAACGCAGGAUCCAAGCUGUGUCUGUGACCUACACUACAGCUCACGGCAACGCCAGAUCCCUAGUUCACUGAGCAGAGCCAGGGAUUGAACCCUCGUCUGCAUGGAUACUGGCUGGAUUCGUUACCACUGAGCCAUGAUGGGAACUCCCACCCUGAAUCUUUUUUUAAAGAAAUGUAACUUAUUGAAAUAGAGUUGCUUUACAAUGUUGUGUUACCUUCUGCUGUUCAGCAAAGUGAUUCAGUUACACGUACACGCACAUUCUUUUCCACUGUGGUUUAUCACAGGAUAUUGAAUAUAGGUCCCUGUGCUAUAUAGUAGCACCUUGCCGUUUAUCCGCCCUAUAGAGUAUAGUUUGCAUCUGCUAAUCCCAAACUCCUAAUCCAUCUCUCUCCCAUCCCCCGUCCCCCUUAGCAACGAGAAAUCUGUUCUCUAUGUCUGUGAGUCUGUUUCUGUUUUAUAGUAAGUUCUUUUUCUGUCGUACUUUAGAUUCCACAUAUAUGUGAUAUCAUAUGGCGUUUGUUUUUCUCUGUCUGCUCUGCUCUGCUUGGUACAGUCGUCCCUGCGUCCAUCCACGUUGCUGCGCAUGCACCCCGUGUGUUGCUUGCCUUAGCUUAGUCCCCACUUCUGCUGUGGUUGCCUUUUUCACUCUUGCGUUUUGCUCUCUUGGAUCUUUUAUAUAUAUGCUCAAACCUGAUGUUUUGAAAAACCAACCUCCACUCAACCUUGACCCCACGCUUCUCUUCAGCUGCAACCCUGCCUCUCCCCUCUCCUUGGGUGCCACACCGCCCCCAAGGGUGGCCUGUACACCCAUUUCCCCACCCUCCUCAGUCCAGGCUGCUCUGGGUUCCCCAUCGCUCUCCACCCACCAAGCAGUUCUCACUGUGGUCGCCAGCGUUCUCCACGCUGCUAACUGCGUGGAUAGUUUUGGGACCUCUCUCCUUCCUGAAACGCCUGGCUCCGUGGGCUUAAUUGGUACACGAGUGUCCUGGCUCCCCUCCCACUUCUCUGGACACUUUCCCUCUGUCGUUUACCUGGCUCUAAGUGCCAAUGUUCCCCAAAGCUCCCUCCCAACUGCUCUGUGCUUCUCCAUCCACCGUCUUGUCCUCAGUUACCACCUGCAUCCCAUGCCUUCAAAAUCUCUAUCUGUAGCCCAGCCCUUUCUGCUGGCUUCUGGACCAACAUAGAAACGGUCCCUCGUAAGCCCUAUUUGAAUGUCUCCACAAAAUCCACAUGUUCAGAACUGAAUGUAAGAUCUCUCUGUUCCCCCCUCCACGUUACCCCCAAAUAUCCAGUCCUGUGUCUUCUGUCUUUGAAAUGUUUUCCUAACUAAGAUCUUAGGUGUGAUCGGUUGGGGGAGUCCUGGGGGAGCCUGCAUGCCUUUUAGUCCUAGGGAGGGCAAAGACAUGAAUUAAUUGUCAAAAACAUGUCAAUGCUGUCAAAAAUAAAUUAAACAAGGCACAGAAGUUGUAAAAACACGAGUCAGCAUUCUAUUCACUCUGAGAUGCUAUGUUCAUGAAAAAUUUUUCAUCCCCCCCAAAAAAAAUCCUGUGCUAUGGUGAAGUCACUUGGUGACAUGAGCAAACGCCAUCACUGCGUUUGUGAAAAUUCCGUGUCGUCUCCCUGCCUCACUUCGAGCACACCAGCGGGGGCUCUGCCACUGACUUGCAGGAGAAGCUUGCCAGAGGGGGCCCAUGAAAGCAAAACCCUGCCUGGCACAUGCUGUUCCCACUGCCUGGAAUACUUUUCUCUAAUUCUUUCUCUUCCUCAGCCUCUCACCAUUCCCUUCACGCCACUUAGUCUGACGCAUCCUCUGGAUCUCAAGUUAAAUGUCACUUCCUCCAGGAAGCCUUCCCAGAAUCCCUGAAGUGCCCCCAGGUCCCCUCUAACACGUCCCUCCUGGCUCUUGGGCUUGUUCUUCCAGACUCUAGAAAAACGAUAACUUACUAACUCUGUGGGGUUGUUGGUGGCCAGCUCCGCAUCACUGUCGCCCCCUCACUGCUGAGUGAAGGCUGGGAGCUGCCAUUUCCCAGCAUCCCCUUCUCAGGGUGGUUCCAGGUUAGAAGUGGCCAAUGAGGCACUCUCAGGAGAUAGGAUUCAUGGAAGAGAAAGAGAGUCGUUGUUCUUUAGAGGCACUGCACCUGCAUAGGUGUGCAGACAUGAGGCUGGAAGCCGUGUCCAGGUGGGCUUCUUGAGAGGCACCUCCAUUAGGGAUCCAGGCUGAGCUGGCUCAUGGGAGCUUCCCAGUGGCCUCAGGGUGAGCUGUUGAAAACCACCUCAUUGCAGGUGGCUUCCUGUCCCCCAGCGUUGUGCAAGCCCCCGAUUUCCUACCCUAAAUCCUUCGUACUUGAAAUACACAGAAUGGCUUCUGUUUUCUUGAUAGAUUCCUCACUGAUACAUGAAUGAGGUGUGUGGAGUGUAAAUAUCUAUCAUCAUUCCCCCCCCCAAACCAUAAGCCCCAUGUGAUCAGAGCCACCAUGACAUCCAUCUACAUGGAAAUGGAAUCCCUAUUGUUCCAUUUAACAGAUUGGAAGACUGAGCCCCAGGGUAGGUCACAAGGCAAUGGCAGAGCCACCAGCAACCCCGUUUCUGAGUGCAUUCUUCCUUCGCCACCAAGGCACUAGAAAUGAAAGGACCAACUUAAACUCAAAGUGGCGUUUGAGUGAUGAUCUCAGAUAGUACUUUUCUCCCCCCAAUCAAAAUGCUAGUCACACUGAAACCAAACCACAGGCUUCUCACUAAUACAAUUGAGUUAUUAUCACCACUUUCCAGUUGACAAAAUUAUUUCUUAUCUCUGUGUUUUACAGGUAUAAGCAAUAAAAAUUAUCGUCAAGGGCAUUAUUACAAUUUUUAACUACGAAUGGAAUUAUGACGCUUGAUGGAAUAUGGGCAACAAAACGCACUCCCCCCAACAGGCAGGACCUUUUGAUUUAUUAUCUCUGGGCUUUACAGUUACCAUGGCAAUAAAAUUCAUAGGUACCAGGAUUAUUACCAUUCUCAACAACGAAUGGAAUUAUUGUUUUUGUUUGUAGUUUUAAGCCUUAGAAGAAAAUGUAAUCCCAUCAGUGGCGCUGAACAGUUUAAUGUCCUUAAACGUUACCGUGAAGGAUCAAUAUCCUAACAGAACUCCUCUAAACCUGUCGUUGUCCCUUCUCCUUCAGCCAUGGGGUCUUUUCGUUUCUCUUUUUCAUGAGAGCCAAAUUUGUGAAGGGAGCAUUCGUUACACAGGCAUUCAGUCAAUAGACUCCUUUCUAGGCGUGGAGACUUCUAGGAUUCUAGGAUGAAUAAGAUCACCAAGCUUGGUAGUUAAGGAGCUGGCUUUGAGGUCAUCUGGACAUGAGUUUGUUUUUUUGGUUUUUUGGGUUUUUUUUUGCUGUUGUUUCUUUUUUCUUUUUUUCUUUUUAUGGCUGCACCUGCGACAUGCAGCAGUUCCCAGGCUAAGGAUCGAUUUGGAGCUGCAAUUGCUGGCCUGCACCACAGCCACAGCAACGCCAGAUCCAUCCGAGCCACAUCCGCAGCCUAUACCGGACCUUGCAGCAAUGUCAGAUGCUUAACCCGCUGAGCAGGGCCAGAGAUUGAACCUGUGUCCUCACAGACACUAUGUCAGGUUCUUCACCUGCUGAGCCGCAAAGGGAACUCCUGGGCAGGACUUUGAAUCCCACUUCCAGUGGGUAGCCCUGGGCAUGUGUCCUAACUGCCUGAGGUUUCCAUUUCCUUAUUCCAGCACAAUCCCCUGGCAAACCCCUACAACUCUCCCCUCAAAUUCUGCCUCCCAAAGCCAAGAAGAAAACCACUCUCCCCUCUNGGACUUCUAGGAUGAAUAAGAUCACCGAGCUUGGUAGUUAAGGAGCUGGCUGUGUUUGUGGUUGUUUCUGUCGCUGUCACAGUCCAGCCUUUUCUCUCAAAGGAUGUGCAUUCUAAUCAGGGGGAGGGGUGCCCCUCUGCAGGUGUGCCAGGCGCUAUGCAGAGAGCCAUCUAACCCAGCCAGGAGACACUGCGGAGGUGGGGGGGCUUCCUGCUGGAGGUGACCCCUAAGUCAAGUCCCAAGGAGUGGGUGGCCUGGACACUCGGGGAGACGAGGAGAUCAAAGGGCCGUGGGCUUCCCCGUGGGCAAAAUGACCCCCACCAGGCCACGCCGUGACUUUGAGCAACUCCCCAAACUUCUUCCUUCUCAACGUGUGAACAUCCAUUACCAAAGAUACCCGCAGGCUGUCUUUGGAGGAAAGAAAGCAUUAUCAUAUUAACUAAUUACAUGAAUUAAAAUAAAUUAAUGAAAUAAAUGGCUUAAU
rnacentral:lncRNA from 1 species